UACGUAGGGAGCAAGCGUUGUUCGGAUUUACUGGGCGUAAAGGGCGCGUAGGCGGCGCGGUAAGUCACUUGUGAAAUCUCUGAGCUUAACUCAGAACGGCCAAGUGAUACUGCAGUGCUAGAGUGCAGAAGGGGCAAUCGGAAUUCUUGGUGUAGCGGUGAAAUGCGUAGAUAUCGAGAGGAACACCAGUGGCGAAGGCGAGUCUCUAGACAAUUCCUGACGCUGAGGCACGAAAGCUAGGGGAGCAAACAGG
rnacentral:rRNA from 1 species